GACGAACGCUGGCGGCGUGCUUAACACAUGCCAGUCGAACGGAAAGGCCCUGCUUUUGUGGGGUGCUCGAGUGGCGAACGGGUGAGUAACACGUGAGUAACCUGCCCUUGUCUUUGGGAUAACUUCAGGAAACUGCGGCUAAUAUCGGAUAGGAGCUCCUGCUGCAUGGUGGGGGUUGGUAAGUUUCGGCGGUUGGGGAUGGACUCGCGGCUUAUCAGCUUGUUUGUGGGGUAGUGGCUUACCAAGGCUUUGACGGGUAGCCGGCAUGAGAGGGUGAACGGCCACAUUGGGACUGAGAUACGGACCAGAAUCCUACGGGAGGCAGCAGCGGGGAAUCUUGCACAAUGGGCGGAAGCCUGAUGCAGCAACGCCGCGUGCGGGAUGACGGCCUUCGGGUUGUAAACCGAUUUCGAAUGUGACGAAGCGUGAGUGACGGUAAUGGGUAAAGAAGCAACGGCUAACUACGUG
rnacentral:rRNA from 1 species